rnacentral:rRNA from 1 species
AGCGAACGCUGGCGGCAGGCUUAACACAUGCAAGUCGAACGGUCCUUCGGGAUAGUGGCGGACGGGUGAGUAACACGUGGGAACGUACCCUUAGGUUCGGAACAACACAUGGAAACUUGUGCUAAUACCGGAUAAGCCCUUCGGGGGAAAGAUUUACCGCCUUUGGAGCGGCCCGCGUCCGAUUAGCUUGUUGGUGAGGUAAUGGAUCACCAGGGCUACGAUCAGUAGCUGGUUUGGGAGGAUGGCCAGCCACACUGGGACUGAGACACGGCCCAGAAUCCUACGGGAGGCAGCAGUGGGGAAUCUUGCGCAAUGGGCGAAAGCCUGACGCAGCCAUGCCGCGUGGAUGAUGAAGGUCUUAGGAUUGUAAAAUCCUUUCACCGGGGACGAUAAUGACGGUACCCGGAGAAGAAGCCCCGGCUAACUUCGUGCCAGCCGCCGCGGUAA